rnacentral:rRNA from 1 species
CUACGUGCCAGCAGCCGCGGUAAUACGUAGGGCGCGAGCGUUGUCCGGAAUUAUUGGGCGUAAAGAGCUUGUAGGCGGUUUGUCGCGUCUGCUGUGAAAGGCCGGAGCUUAACUCCGUGUAUUGCAGUGGGUACGGGCAGACUAGAGUGCAGUAGGGGAGACUGGAAUUCCUGGUGUAGCGGUGGAAUGCGCAGAUAUCAGGAGGAAUACCGAUGGCGAAGGCAGGUCUCUGGGCUGUAACUGACGCUGAGAAGCGAAAGCAUGGGGAGCGAACAGGAUUAGAUACCCUGGUAGUCCAUGCCGUAAACGUUGGGCACUAGGUGUGGGGAACAUUCCACGUUUUCCGCGCCGUAGCUAACGCAUUAAGUGCUCCGCCUGGGGAGUACGGCCGCAAGGCUAAAACUCAAAGAAAUUGACGGGGGCCCGCACAAGCGGCGGAGCAUGCGGAUUAAUUCGAUGCAACGCGAAGAACCUUACCAAGGCUUGACAU